AGGAGCGCCAAGGCUGAGUGGUUACUUCGAGGUAAUGCGCAAGACUAUUAAUCUUGAGAUCGGCGGUUCGAUCCCGCCCAGGGGCGCGAAGAAGCCCCUGUAGCAUAGUUAAUAACUAUCAACCACUGGCGCUAUCGCUCCUGCUU
rnacentral:vault_RNA from 1 species